rnacentral:rRNA from 1 species
UGGGGAAUAUUGGACAAUGGGGGAAACCCUGAUCCAGCGACGCCGCGUGUGUGAAGAAGGCCUGCGGGUUGUAAAGCACUUUCGGUGGGAACGAAAUGUGCCGGGCUAAUACCCCGGUAAGCUGACGUUACUCAAUGAAGAAGCACCGGCUAACUCUGUGCCAGCAGCCGCGGUAAUACGUAGGGUGCAGGCGUUAAUCGGAAUUACUGGGCGUAAAGCGUGCGCAGGCGGUUUGUUAAGACAGAUGUGAAAUCCCCGGGCUUAACCUGGGAACUGCGUUUGUAACUGGCAGACUGGAGUGUGGCAGAGGGGGGUGGAAUUCCAAGUGUAGCAGUGAAAUGCGUAGAUAUUUGGAGGAACACCGAUGGCGAAGGCAGCCCCCUGGGCUAACACUGACGCUCAUGCACGAAAGCGUGGGGAGCAAACAGGAUUAGAUACCCCCGUAGUCCCUGAGCGGGCUGGCAAGGCGCAU